rnacentral:rRNA from 1 species
CCGUGGGCGCUGGAGAAUUGAGGGGGGCUGCUCCUAGUACGAGAGGACCGGAGUGGACGCAUCACUGGUGUUCGGGUUGUCAUGCCAAUGGCACUGCCCGGUAGCUAAAUGCGGAAGAGAUAAGUGCUGAAAGCAUCUAAGCACGAAACUUGCCCCGAGAUGAGUUCUCCCUGAGACUAUAAGUCUCCUGAAGGAACGUUGAAGACGACGACGUUGAUAGGCCGGGUGUGUAAGCGCAGCGAUGCGUUGAGCUAACCGGUACUAAUGAACCGUGAGGCUUAACCUUAC